AUCUUCAUCCCAAGCUAUACAAGUAAUCAUCCAUUCAUCUUCAUACACAAUUUUAAGCAUUAGCAAAACUUUGAGUGUUCUACUUAUCCUUCGUAAUGGCAGCUACUAAGACUUCAUUGAUGUUCUUUCUAUUUGCCUUGAUCGCUAUUUCUGCGAAUAUGCAGAUGGUAUCAGCUGGUUUACCUCUUAAUUGUGCCACUGCACUAGUGGAGGUCAAGCUACCUGCAGGAGAAAGUUGCCCGACUGAUCUGAAGUGUGAUAGUUACUGUACGGCGCCAGUAGGCCUCAGAUUGGACGCUUCCGUAUGCGUGCCUGGUGUCGCUUCAGUCACUGCAAAUGUAUGCUUCUGUUGCUACAUCAGCUUAUUAUAGACGGAGGCAAAGCAGUACGGGACUAUGGCAAACUGUACUGUCGUACUAAGUGCUGUUUAAUCAUUUGCUAUUAAAUAAAAGCAGUAUUUUUAGUUAACUACUUAAAUGUAGCUAUUUAGAUAUUAUCAGCUGCUAGUUUAGGAAAAUAAUUCUGCACUACCGUAUGUGAAACAUUUAACCUACUAGACUACUACGUCCGUAAUGCAUGUACCAGUUGUACACAUGAUUGCGUUUCAUACGUAGUACUAUGGAUCAUACAUGUAUUUGCUUCACAAAAUAUUAUGUUAAGAGAAGUUAUUUAUUUA